GCAGCCGCACUCGGCAUCCUAGGGGUGCAUCCCGGUGUCCUGGGGGCUUUGCCCCCUGGGUGGGCGGGGAGCAGGCAAGGCCCCUGCAGCCGUCCAGCUCUCCCCAGCCUGGCUCCAGGCACCGAUCCCAUCCCGGCUGGCCCAGCGGGGAGGCGAGAAUGCUGCCCGCCCUGGACUGGGCGGCGCUGGGCAGGUGACGGAGGUACAGACGGAAACGGGACAGCAGGUAGCCCACGUGGCCCUGGACUUGGCCUCCUUUGUCUUGUCCUGCUUCGUGCCAGCAGCGAUUUUUCCUCCUCUUCUCUUUCCUCUCUUCUUCUCUCCCCUCCCCUCCCCUCCUCUCCCCUCCUCUCUUCUCCUCUCCUCCCCCCUCCCCUCUGCUCCCCUCCCCUCCCCUCCUCUCCCCUCUUCUCCCCCCUCUCCCCUUCUUCUCCCCUCCUCUCCCCUCCCCUCCCCCCUCCCUUCCCUCCCCUCUCCCCCUCCCUCUCCUCCCCCCUCCCCUCUGCUCCCCUCCCCUCCCCUCCCCCUCCCCUCCCCCCCUCUCCCCUCUCCCCUCUCUCUCCCCUCUCUCCCCCCUCUCCCCUUCUCUCCCCUCUGCUCCCCUCCUCUCCCCUCCCCUCCCCUCCCCUCCCCCUCCCUCCUCCCCCCUCCCCUCCCCUCCUUCCCCUCCUCUCCUCCCCUCCCUCUCUCCCCUCCCCCCCCCCCUCCCUCCCUCUUCUCCCCCCUCUCCCCUUCUCUCCCCUCUGCUCCCCUCCUCUCCCCUCCCCCUCCCCCUCUCCCCCCUCCUCCCCUCCCUCCCCUCCCCUCCUCCUCUCCCCUCCUCUCCUCCCCCCCCCUCUGCUCCCCCUCCUCUCCCUCCUCUCCUCUCCCCCCUCCCCUCUCCUCCCCUCCCCUCUCUUCUCCCCUCCCCUCCCCCUCCCCUCUCCCCUCCUCUCUUCUCCUCCCUCCCCCUCCCUCCUCCCCCUCCUCUCCCCCUUCCUCCCCCUCCUCCUCCCUCCUCCCCCUCCUCUCUCUCCUCCUCUCCCCUCCUCCCCUCCCCCCUCUUCUCCCCUCCCUCUCCCCUCCCUCUCUCUCUCCUCUCUCCUCCCCUCCCCCCCCCCCCAUCCCCUCCCCUGC
rnacentral:lncRNA from 1 species